CUUGGGUGCUGCCGGCGUAUGUGGGAAUCCGGCGGGGUCCGGUAAAACCGCAUUAAGGCCCCCGCAUCGGUGGUGUUUGUCCGCCCGCUGUCAAGAGCGAUCCUCGGCGUGAGCUUGUGCUCGCGCGGGGCCUUGCACCGGUUCGGGCCACACACGCGAUGGAUCGUUUUGGGUGGCGUGCAGCUCUCACUCACUGUGUUGCGGUUUGCACCCCCAGAGAGCGCGUCGCUGCCUCCUCAACCACACGAUGAACGCCCAAGCAAUUUAAGUAACGGCGGGACAGCAACAAACAUAGAGUCAAGCGAGGAGUGGAAUGGCCUGAGGGGGAUCCCCCCAGUCCUACCUGCCCCUGCCAGGUCAAAUCUGCCUAAACUGACUGCUCGGUCGCUGCAAACCGCCACUGUGAUGGGGGACGGACUGGAGCCAGGCAGCAGCCACAACCCUCCUUCAGCCCCGCAGCCUCACAUCUUGAACCCCGCACCACCCGAAAUAGGGAAUUCCACCAGACCCAAACGACAGACUAACCAGCUACAGUACCUGCUCAAAGUGGUACUGAAGACAUUAUGGAAACAUCAGUUCGCAUGGCCCUUUCAUUCUCCUGUAGAUGUCAUCAAACUCAAUUUACCUGACUAUUAUAAAAUAAUCAAAACCCCAAUGGACAUGGGUACCAUAAAAAAAAGACUGGAGAACCACUACUACAAAAAUGCCCAGGAGUGUAUUCAUGACUUCAACACUAUGUUCACCAAUUGCUACAUCUACAACAAGCCCAACGAUGACAUUGUGUUGAUGGCCAAGGCCUUAGAGAAGCUAUUCCUCCAGAAGAUCACACAGAUGCCGCAGGAGGAGACGGAAAUUGCCGUGGUUGCGAAGGGACGCCGCGGCAUCAAACGAGAGCCUGCUCCGAUCAGCAUGUCAGAAUCAAGCCAAGACCUGUCCUCCCCCUCCAGCACCCCCCACACACGGAGCUUCUCGUCGCCUUCCACCCUCCCGCAGACCCAUGCGUCAUCAACCCCGCCUGCGCUGGCCCAGCCCCCACGUGUGCCUACUACACCCACAGCCCACGCACCCCAUCUAGGACCUCCAUAUCCACUCUCAAUAGGAGGCAUCCUGCCCCAGGGCAUGACCGCUGUGGCCCCUCCGGCCGUCACGCACCCAGGCCUCCAUCCUAGUCCGAUGCUACAGAACGCCCCCGCUCUCAUCAAGCAAAGGAAGAGCCAGAAGAGGAAAGCGGACACCACGACUCCCACAGCCAACGACCAGCUCAGCGAAUCAUCUCCUGUCUCAGCGGAGACUCGAACACGUCGCGAGACCAGUCGCCCGUCAAAGCAGCCCAACCGAGACCCGUCGCAGCCGGACUCCCAGCACCACCUGGUUGGUGGUUUGGAGACAGGAGGCAUGUUGACGCCCAAACGUCAGGAUCAGUUGCACUUCUGCUCCCUCCUCGUCAAAGAGAUGCUGUCCAAGAAGCACUUUGCGUACUCUUGGCCCUUCCACCUACCCGUUGAUGCAAAAGCUCUUGGCCUUCAUGACUACCAUGACAUCAUCAAGCACCCCAUGGAUCUCAGCACCAUUAAGAAAAAGCUGGACAAUCGACAGUACAGAGACCCCCAAGAGUUUGCAGCAGACGUCCGAUUGAUGUUCUCCAACUGUUACAAGUAUAAUCCGCCGGGUCACGAUGUGGUGGCCAUGGCACGGAAACUCCAGGACGUCUUUGAGAUGCGUUUUGCCAAGAUGCCCGAUGAGCCGGAGGAGGCCGCCCCGGUUCCCACACCGUCAUCUGUCCUCCACCCUGCCCCCUCCACUCGACAAGCGCCGCCGCCGCCUCCCAUUGUGUCGGAAGACAGCAGUUCCAGUUUGUCUGAAUCCGAGUCCUCAGUGGGAGACUCUGAUCAAGAGAGGCAGCAGCGAUUGGCUGUGCUACAGGAACAGCUCAAAGCUGUCCACGAGCAACUGGCCGCACUCUCUCAGCCUCAGGUCUGCAAGCCCAAGAAGAAAGAGCGGGAGAAGAAGGAGAAGAAGAAGGAAAAGCACAAGAAGAAAAUGGGAGCGGAGGAACCCACCGAGCCUGCCGUGCUUCAGAUUUCCAAGAAGAGCAAAAGCGGCAAAGAGGCGCUCAUUGCCAAGAAGGAGAGAAAGAAGCCUGGUAAGAAAGAAGGCAUCAAAAACAGUCGUCCCGCUGUGCCCCCUCAGACCGGGCCGACCCCUCUCGUCCCUUCAGCCUCCCUCGAAGCAGAUGAUGACAUGGCAGACUUGUUUGGGAGCGCGGCAGCUGUCGGAGGCAAGCCAAUGUCAUACGAAGAGAAGCGCCAGCUGAGCCUCGACAUCAACAAGCUGCCCGGCGACAAGUUGGGCCGUGUCGUGCACAUAAUCCAGACCCGUGAGCCCUCCAUGAAAAACUCCAACCCGGAUGAGAUCGAGAUCGACUUUGAGACGCUGAAGCCCUCCACGCUCCGCGAGCUGGAGAAAUAUGUCUCCAGCUGCCUGAAGAGAAAGAAAAAGUCAUCAGAAAAGCCCCUGGAAAUGACAAACGUCACAAAGUUGAAGACGGGAUCUUCAUCCUCGGGUAGCAGUGACUCCUCUGAUAGUGAAGACUCUGACAAUGCAGGGCUGGUUCCCAAGCAGCAGAAGACUCUGUCCAACAAGGACACCAAGAGGACGCAGCAGCAGCCCGUCACCAGCGUUGCCGGCCCUGUCGUGCCGCAUCCUCAAGUGGUCCAAACCAAACCCCCGUUCAUCGCUCCACCUACUGUUCCCGUGUCGGUCCCACUCUCCGUUCCCGUUCCUGUCCCUGCCCUGGAAUCCUCCCAGCUUUUGAGCGCCGGAUUUGACCCGUUGGCCCAUUUUAUGAACCCUCACAUAACCCAGCCCAACACUGAGUCUGGCCCAGUCAUCACUGCUGCUUGUCCCCCGCUCACCUCUGGUCUGCUCAAUGUCAACGCGCCUGUUGGCCCCACACCCUCUGAUACACACCCCUUCCUGAACCAACAUCCCAUCAUUCCUGGGCCAGCCAUCCAUAGCGCACUUCCCCAGCAGCCAUCACGCCCUAGCAGCCAUGCAGCACCACUUCCUCCCAAGAACUCUCAGCCGCCUCCUUCCUCGCUCCUAUCUCUACCCACGCCCCCUCCUCAGCUCCAGAGCUCGCUUCCUCUCCCGCUACCCCAGCCUGCUCCACGCCCCCGCGUACCUUCGCCACCAUCGCAUGGAAUUUUGGGCACCCUCUCAGCUCAGCCACCCCAGGCCCUGCUGGAGGACGACGACGAGCCGACGCCCGUCAACAUAGAAACGCCACCGCUCAGCCAGGUGCAAAGCUUCCUGCAGUCGCUCCAACCGCGGCUGUCCGGGCAGGUUCAUUCGCUCCACUUGCCCACGCAAGGCGCCGCUCAGCUGGUACCCUCAAUGCAAGCUGCGAUGACGCCCGCCCCCGCGGCGAUGCAUCGCCACAGCUCGGCCCACGCCCACACACAGCAGUCCUACCCGCAAGCUCUUGCCACGGCAGUGCAGCAACAGAAGGGGGCGAGUCUGCAACAGAAGCUACAGCAGCUACAGCAGCAUCAGCAGCAACAUCAGCAGCAGCAACAACAGCAGCAGCAGCAGCAGCCCUCACCACGCAUCAAGGCCGAGCCAUUAUCUACUGGCUGCCUGCGUGACAGUCCCUCUCCCCUCAUGAUGCACUGCCCCCUGAUGCCUCAGUUCCAGACCACAGGACAACAGUCUCCCUCACAGAUCAAGAAAAAAGAUCAGAGGUCGAACUUAGUAAAAGUGGAGAAACCCUCCCACUCGCCAGUGCUGACCCCUUCUCCGUUCAGCCCUGCCAUACGCCUCGACACACAAAAACAUGACAGCAAACACAGAUUAGAUGUGAAGUCAUCGGAUGGUGCUCGUCCCAGUUCCCGCCUCCCCGACUCCCUGGUGCAAUGCCCUCAGCAGGACACCAAAGUCAAGCAAGAGCCCAAAACGCCCACGGCGCCCAAGAGGGCACCGGAUGUGAAGUUGAAGAACAUGGGCUCCUGGGCCAGUUUGGCCCAGAGGUCUCAGUCCACGCCAGCGUCAGCUGUCCGCUCAUCCAGUGACAGCUUCGAGCAGUUUCGACGGGCAGCCAGAGAGAAGGAGGAGCGGGAGAGGCAGCUGAAGGCUCAAGCGCAGCUGGCCAGGAAGGAGCAGGAGAAGCUGCGCCGCGACGAUGACGACACUGUGGAGCACGCUCGCCGGGCGCAGGAAGACACCCGCCGACGCCAAGAGCAACAGCAGCCGUCGCCCCUCGCGCCCACGCCUCCCGCUUCGACCCCGCCCACUCACUCUCCGCAGCCCCCGGCCGUCCCGCCUCCAGCCCCGUCACCGACUUCCUCGGCAGCGCAAAAUGCCCUCGACCAACAGAGGGAGAUGGCGCGCCGUCGCGAGCAGGAGAGGCGCAGGAGGGAGGCGUUGCAGAUCAGACGUGCAUAACGAUCAGGAUGAAUUUUGGACCAUUCCUCUUUACAAAAGUGUUGCAGUUCAGCAAGAUUUCUGGGAUGUCUGGUGUGACUAGCUCUCAAGGUCAUGCCACAGCAUUUCAAUUAGAGUGAGAUGGCCGACACCAUUGACAUUAACUUCCAGAGCGACCUGAUGGCCAUUUUUGAAGAGAAUCUCUUCUGAGUCAGAAGGGUGGCGAUGGCUGCGUGAGAAGGACCCGCACACGCACACACACACAGACGUGGUGAGCUUAUAUAUACAUGCCUCACAUGAACAUCCGUAUAUUGACUACAUACAUACCUGUCCCCUUUCUCACGACGUCUUUUUCCCUCGGAGCGCAGAUACGUUUUGGUGUCUGACGUGAUGUUUAUAGUUGUUAGCUCGCAAAAUUGAGUUUAAAAAAAAAAAAAAAAAAAAAAAAAAAGUCCUUCAAAAGGCAGAGUGGUAGUCAAUGGGGUGUUAUAGGAAAAUGAUUUAAUUCAAAGAAAUGAAGUGGAGGACGAGACAAUGGAUUCUACAAGAUGCACAGACUUUUGUCGUUCCUCUCUCUUUUAAAUGUGUUAUUCCGGAAUGGGAGUUUCAGCUGGUCUCGGAUUUUUUUUUUUUUUUCUCAGGACACAGCGGCACAGCACCUCCCACCCCCAUCCCCAUCCCCCACUACACGGUAUAAACCCUCCUUGCACAAGUUCAGUUGAAACAAGACCCAACAACCGAGUGAUAAAAAGCCCACGAGUGUGUCCGCUCUGCCUUAGCGCUCUGGCCUGUAUUGUCUGUGAUGACACCCUACAAAUUAUACAUAUAUAUAAAUAGAUACAUGAAUAUAUAUUCUAUACAAGGAUAAGUCAACGUAAGAGAACACGGGAGGAAUUUGGUUUGUGUGUGCGCAAAGGGGGCGUCGAUCUUUAGAGCGCUCUGCUUUUUAUUUUGUAGAAUUUACUGUAAAAAAGAAAAAAAAACUUUUUUAUGAUGCUAUUGAGGAUUUUUUCUGUCUUGUUUCCCUCUCGGUCUGUUUUGUCCUCCCACCACCCGCCCACUGUAUGCCAAAACAGUUGAGUUCUGAAAGUCCAUUCACGUUCUUUUACUUUAUAAGAGGCUGUUUUAAUUGCUUUAUUUAAUCUCCCUCUACACCCUUUUUAAAUAAGAAUAUUUGCGCAGGAUUAUUGCCCAUGUCUUCUCUCUACUUUCAUGCUUUUAACACCCGCUUCCCUAUCAAAGUAUAAUUUUUCCGUCAUGCUAUACAUGUUCAAUCUUUUCAAGCCGCCUCACCCUCCAACGCCUACAACUCUUUGUAGAUUUUUCUUUCUGAAGUGUUUCCAUUGUGACUCGGCUUUCUGUUCACUGGCCUGCACAUCAAUGAGUGUUUUAAACAUUCUAAUUAGUUGAUCCCACUUCCCCGCCACCGCCUCCUUCUUUUAUCUGUUUGUUUUUGGACUUUUAUUUUGUUGUUCUUCCCUUCUUACGCCUCCCUUUCCCCUCUCUCUAAUUCAAUUUAUCCAGAACAACCUUGUUGUAAUGUUGACAUUGAGGUCAAUAGAUUCAUCUUCAGACGAUGGACAUGUUUUUUUUUUUUUUUUUUUUUAAAGAAAAAUAUUAAAAUAAUAUUUAAAAACAAAAACGUGUAGUGUGUUUGGGGUUUUUUAUUUGUAUUUGUCAUCAUUGGUUAAAUAGCUGCUGUAGUGAAAAAUCUCACUCACACUGAAUUGACACUUCAUUUGGUCCAUAUGCCCGAUCACUUUCUGCCUUCAUCAAAUUUAAUAUUGCUCAGCUUUGAUUAACAGGCAGCUGUUAAUUUAACGUUAUGGUUUUAAACAGCUCUCUUUUUUAAAUUAGACCUGUUGUGUAACUUGUUUCACACAAUUUAAGAGUUACCAGGUGUCUCAAUAAAAAGUCUUGGACAUUCUUCGAUUAAUACACAAAUGUUAAAAUAAUUACAGCACCGUUGUCACACGUUCAAAUCUGUUUUUGGGGUGGUACUGUCUAAAUCAUUACUGUGAUUACCAGGGCCAGUGCUAGUGUGUUGCUAACUUUUGUUGCUAUGUAUAGCGAUAUUUCCUCUAGUGACAUUAAAAAAAAAAGAAAAAAAAAAGACUACAACCAAAUGUACCGGCUUUUUUCUAGUGUUAUUGGAAACUCCCUCGAAACUUUUUUCUUUUUUUUGCCUCGACUUGCCAGAAAUGUUUUUAGCACUAAAUGGUGGCAGCAAACUUCACAAUCAGCAACAGACAGAAAAACAGUCUUCAAUUAUCACCACUCCCAGUUUAAGUUAACUCUAAAACUAAACAUAAAACAAAGAGUACGUAUUUAACCAAACCACUUCACCAAAUACCAGCAGUCUACCAGCUUACUCCAAAUACAAUUGGAAACGCCAUAAACAGGCUACCAAAACUAGCAUUGGUAUUGCAGUAUAUACUUUUACAACUUACAUUUGAAUACAAUGGUCGUGACAAUACUCCACGCAUAUAUUCUUUAUCCUCUGUGAAAAGCAUCUAUUAUUGCACUUUAGUUGCGAUGGUCUUACAACUCCCCCGUGGUGUUUAAGACAUGCACACUUGGAGCAGCACGAUGUACUGUAUUCGAGUAAAGCAUGAAAUCACAAUCCACAAGUACAUUGCUGUAAUUAUUAAAAGCUGAUGAAAAUGGCAUUUCAAUGUAUUUCAAUCGAAAAGGAUGACUGGAUAUGCAAGUUAAGAGCAUGGUCACGGAAUGAAAUGUACGCAUCAAUCACGGCCCAAUUGUACAAUUUUUCCAAUAUAACAUACUGAGCAAUAUUAAUUAAACAUUUUCACUUUCACACUUUAAAUUGUUGGCUGCUCCUAAUUAAUACACAAAAUUAAAAUAACAGUCCCACUGAAAUUACAUAAUUACAUUACCAUUUAAAAAAAUAACUUUCCUGGAGUGUAACUGAAGUUUCCUUAGCAAUUUAAAAAAUCUUUCGUUUUUUUCACAAGCUGCUAAACCACCCAAUAACUCCUUUAACGCCCCCUAGAGGACGUACUCCCACUUUUGAAAGCUCAUUACUCGUGAGAGUUUUAAUCCAUUUAAAUGAAUUUAAUUUCCAUUCCCACAAGUCCUAAAAGUUUUCUGAUCAAGAUGGAAAAUUGUGCACUAAACUACAGCUGAAAUAAGAUGUAACCACAUCAGUGGCAUCUCGUAGAAGGAAGCGGACUCCUGAGACAAAAGCUUAGAAACUGAAACGCUGUACAGGAUGUUCUUUUACAACCCGAGAGAGGAUGUUGUGUUCGAACCAGCCAAGGGGUGCAUAAAAGCAGACAACCGAUCCUCCUGAACCCCCACCCGCCGCCUCCCCUUCCGACCGUCAUCUGAGAGGUCUAAUACAAAGAUAAGACAUGGACGUGUCAACGCAAACGAGAGUGGUGACGAGAGAAGCGUUGCUUGAGUGCCUUUUGGAAACUCCUGAAAACACAAAAACAAAAUCUUCAACUGGAACUUUCCAACUUUAAAGAGAAUGUGAAUCAAAGUUGUUGUUGUUGUUGUUGUUGUUUUUACCAGGAAACUGAAUCAUGCACAUUCCAAAGAGAUCAAUAUGAAAAAAUAUACAAAGAUUCUGCCUUAACAAACAUAAUACUGCUCAGGUUUUGACUUUCCCAGAGAAAUAUUCAUUUAGAGGAGAUAAUUUAAAUCAUUUUAACUAAUGGAGACAGUAGUGCAUACGGCUUUUUUUUUUUUUUUAAAUUGCUUACACUUGCAAGAGCAAACAGGAUAAGCACUAAUUUUCUAUAUAUAGGCUUAAAGCUGCUUAAUGCCACUCCCAGCUGAAUUUACGGUCAAACUAAACAGAGCAUUAUGCAUAUAUUUAAAACAACCAACCAACUGCCUAAACAAAGACUUGUAAGCUUAAUACUGACAGAAUGGAAAACGGCAUUCACAUGCUAUGAUUAGCGGUUUGAGUUUUAACAAUAUGACAGUUUUAGAACCCUUUAACUCAUUCAACAUGGUUAUUUGACUGAUAUAACCGUCAAUGGCAAUGAAUUUUGAGCAAUGGAUAUUUGAACACAAACGGUGGGGCAACAUGUAGACAGACAGUAUUCACAUGCAUAUAUUAUUUAUCCUCUGUGAAAUAAAGACUAAUAUUGCAGGUUAUUGCCUCAAUGAGAACAGUGAGAACAGCAAUGUUCACACUGCAGGUCAAAAUUAUUGUAUUUUAUUUAUUUAUUUCUCUUCCCCUACCCUAGGUGAUGUCAGAUUUUUUUUUUCAUGUCAAUGUGAACGGUACAAUUCCGUUUGUGUUUUUUCCCCCCCCCAUAUCUGACCCAGGCAUCUUUCGUUUUUGGAUGUAAAUCUGAUAUGUAUCGAGAAUGGACGCGGAAGUCACGCUCACAAAAUGUAACUUAUCUUGGCACUGAUGUCUCCUUUUAACGAAACUCCCUGACACAAAGUAAUAUCGUUUCUAACAAAUGUCAAAAUAAUGUUAUUUUCAAAAUAAAAGUCAAGUCCGACCUGGA